AUUACUCCAGGCGUGAAUUAGAGGAGAACAUGAUGAAGCUGGCUCACAUAAACGAAAAGCUUAUUUACUAGGACCGUGACCUAGACAGGUUAUACCCACAGCAGGCUGCAAAAUUUAGGGCAUGAAUUACAUUGCAAGGUUUCGUUCAGGAUGAAUUAGAUUCAUUGAGUUGAAGGAGGACCAUCACGAGAAGUGGAAUUAUGAUUUUUGCUUGCAAACUGGAGGGAUAUAAUUUCUACCAUAGUUUGUUCGAUUGAAAGAAAGCAUGAAUGUCAACGUGAUGAUUGUAAUCAAACAAUUUGUAAUGUCCUGGGGCUCUGUUAGUUUGAUCCUUUUGUAACCAAACAAUUUGUAAUAUCUGUGGCAUCCAUCUUUCCCGUCCUGAUGAGUAAGAUACAUGCAACACUCGCUCA